rnacentral:rRNA from 1 species
UAAUAGUGUAUAUUAAAGUUGUUGCAGUUAAAAAGCUCGUAGUUGAAUGUUGGUGUCGAACGAGCGGUCAGCUUCGGCUGUACUGCUCUCUCGACUCCUUCCUUCUGUGGACUACGUCGCACUUUACUGUGUGGCGCUAGGACGCAGAUCGUUUACUGUGAAAAAAUUAGAGUGUUCAAAGCAGGCCGUACGCUUGAAUACAUUAGCAUGGAAUAAUGGAAUAGGACGUCGGGCCUAUUUUGUUGGUUCUAGGACCGUCGUAAUGAUUAAUAGGGACAGUUGGGGCCGUUUAUAUUCCGUAGUCAGAGGUGAAAUUCUUGGAUUUAUGAAAGACGAACUUCUGCGAAAGCAUUUGCCAAGGAUGUUUUCAUUAA